GAUGAACGCUGGCUACAGGCUUAACACAUGCAAGUCGAGGGGAAACGACGGGGAAGCUUGCUUCCCCGGGCGUCGACCGGCGCACGGGUGAGUAACGCGUACCAACCUGCCUCUGACUGAGGGAUAACCCGUCGAAAGUCGGCCUAAUACCUCAUGGCAUCGUCUGCGGGCAUCCAACGACGAUUAAAGAUUUCAUCGGUCAGGGAUGGGGAUGCGUCUGAUUAGCUUGUUGGCGGGGUAACGGCCCACCAAGGCUACGAUCAGUAGGGGUUCUGAGAGGAAGGUCCCCCACAUUGGAACUGAGACACGGUCCAAACUCCUACGGGAGGCAGCAGUGAGGAAUAUUGGUCAAUGGGCGGGAGCCUGAACCAGCCAAGUAGCGUGCAGGAGGACGGCCCUAUGGGUUGUAAACUGCUUUUAUGCGGGGAUAAAGUGAGGGACGUGUCCUUCAUUGCAGGUACCGCAUGAAUAAGGACCGGCUAAUUCCGUG
rnacentral:rRNA from 1 species